UACGUAGGUGACCAGCGUUGUCCGGAUUUACUGGGCGUAAAGAGCGCGCAGGCGGUCGUUCAAGUCGAGUGUGAAAGCCCCCGGCUCAACUGGGGAGGGUCAUUCGAUACUGUCCGACUCGAAGGCAGGAGAGGGAAGCGGAAUUCCCGGUGUAGUGGUGAAAUGCGUAGAUAUCGGGAGGAACACCAGUGGCGAAGGCGGCUUUCUGGCCUGUUCUUGACGCUGAGGCGCGAAAGCCAGGGGAGCAAACGGG
rnacentral:rRNA from 1 species